rnacentral:rRNA from 1 species
GAUGAACGCUGGCGGCGUGCCUAAUACAUGCAAGUCGAGCGAACAGACGAGGAGCUUGCUCCUCUGACGUUAGCGGCGGACGGGUGAGUAACACGUGGAUAACCUACCUAUAAGACUGGGAUAACUUCGGGAAACCGGAGCUAAUACCGGAUAAUAUAUUGAACCGCAUGGUUCAAUAGUGAAAGACGGUUUUGCUGUCACUUAUAGAUGGAUCCGCGCCGCAUUAGUUAGUUGGUAAGGUAACGGCUUACCAAGGCAACGAUGCGUAGCCGACCUGAGAGGGUGAUCGGCCACACUGGAACUGAGACACGGUCCAGACUCCUACGGGAGGCAGCAGUAGGGAAUCUUCCGCAAUGGGCGAAAGCCUGACGGAGCAACGCCGCGUGAGUGACGAAGGUCUUCGGAUCGUAAAACUCUGUUAUUAGGGAAGAACAAAUGUGUAAGUAACUAUGCACGUCUUGACGGUACCUAAUCAGAAAGCCACGGCUAACUACGUG